UUCCCAAUUUGGGGGAUUGGGAGUGAAAUUUCCGGCGGAGCGGAGCGGCUUCUCUUCGGCGAGGCGAUUCUUGAAAAUUGUAUAGUCUUCGUAGUAAAUGUAAUCAAUCGAUGAUUCCCUUCUCAUUACGUGCAAUCUAAGGUUCGUUAUAUUGCGUUUGUUGGGACUAUCUCGGAAGGAAACAUUACCCUUACUUAAUUCAUAGAACUGGAGGAGGUGCUUGAGUGAAGGCAUUUCGGGAGAUCUCUUGUGGUUGGAUUGGUGUAGGAUCCCAAUUUCGUUCUUUAGCCAAAUUCGCACCUGCUGCUGCUUGUAUUGAAUCUGAAUCUGCAAAAAUGGUGUCCUUCGAGAUGAACGAUCGAAAAAAAAUUGGGCUCGGCUUGACUGGAUUUGGAGUGUUCUUUUCAUUUUUGGGGAUCAUUUUCUUCUUUGAUAAAGGUUUAAUUGCCAUGGGAAAUAUCCUCUUCUUGUCAGGGGUGAUGUUAACCAUUGGUCUCAAGUCAUCAAUGCAGUUCUUUAUGAAACGCUCUAAUUUUAAGGGAACAGUUUCGUUUGGUGUUGGAUUUUUCUUGGUUAUAAUUGGAUGGCCAAUAAUUGGAAUGAUUGUUGAGGCAUAUGGAUUUGUUGUGCUGUUCAGUGGCUUCUGGCCAACACUUGCUGUCUUUCUCCAAAAGAUCCCCAUUAUUGGAUGGCUGUUCCAGCAACCUUUCAUCAGAUCGGAGUUUAGCAUUUACCCACAAUGAAAAUGACCUUGCUCGAUCCUAAUAUAACUUCAGAGCACAUUAGCCUCGGCAUGAACUCAGACUAACUCAGACUAACAGUUUUUUGAUCGCUACCGUGGAAAAAGGGUGCCUGUGUAAGAUAAGGAUAGGAGAACGCCAAAGAAUGCCAAAACCAUGUGGGAUGUAAUUUGUGCAAGUAUUGUAAAAUACUGUCUUGGUAUAUACAUUUACAUGUAAACAGAUUAUAGUAUGGCAUUGGCAUAUCGAUCAAUACGUGUCAUUUUGAAGCCAUGGCAAUCUGGAAAUUUGGGACGUCAAAUUUGUUUGAUUACCAUCAUUGGUAUGACGUGGGACCUAUCUGUUCUUUGAGCUCUGAGAAAACUAAAUGUUUGAGUCGCAAGGCAAUAUUAGUGUAAACUGUAAGGAAAAGUGAUGUAGCUGGUUUUUUGUAUGGCAUAUCAAUCAAUAGUUAAAACAGAA